CAGUUCACCAUGAUCUGUUCAGCUCACAGGAGCUGGUGGACUAUCUCACUCAGCUGGGAACAGCUGGAGGUCAGCUCAAUCCGGUGAAUGGUGCGUUCUGGUUCGGAUCAGUGUGGACGAGUCCGGGACGGUUACUGGGCGAGCCGAUGGUCCGGAUGCAGGACAGUUCGACCAAAUUGGUCUUAGGCUUGGGACAGGGAGUGGGCAAGCUUCC
rnacentral:lncRNA from 1 species